GUCAAAACUGAUAAAAAUACAAUAUUUUUUGAUCUGUUCAAUCCCCCGAAGGAAGCAAUUGUUCAUUUGUGGCCUGCUCCGACCAACCAAGAGUUGAAGAUGCCAAUUUUUCUUAUUUUACGAUCUGUGUAAACUUUAUCGGAUUCUAAGGUCAUUGAUGGAACAAAAAUGGAAUUGUUUGGAGCAACAACCAUCACAAGAAAAAUAAUUUUAAAGGGUGGGCUUGUUGUUGUUGAUGAUGGUAGUGGUAGUGAUAGUGGUGCUGCUAUUGGGGCUAAUUAUUAUGGUUAUGAUCAUACUGGCUAUACAAAUUUUUUUUUC